rnacentral:rRNA from 1 species
GAGCGGUAGAGAGAAGCUUGCUUCUCUUGAGAGCGGCGGACGGGUGAGUAAUGCCUAGGAAUCUGCCUGGUAGUGGGGGAUAACGCUCGGAAACGGACGCUAAUACCGCAUACGUCCUACGGGAGAAAGCAGGGGACCUUCGGGCCUUGCGCUAUCAGAUGAGCCUAGGUCGGAUUAGCUAGUUGGUGAGGUAAUGGCUCACCAAGGCGACGAUCCGUAACUGGUCUGAGAGGAUGAUCAGUCACACUGGAACUGAGACACGGUCCAGACUCCUACGGGAGGCAGCAGUGGGGAAUAUUGGACAAUGGGCGAAAGCCUGAUCCAGCCAUGCCGCGUGUGUGAAGAGAGGUCUUCGGAUUGUAAAGCACUUUAAGUUGGGAGGAAGGGCAGUAACCUAAUACGUUGCAGUCUUGACGUUACCGACAGAAUAAGCAC